AUUGAACGCUGGCGGCACGCUUUACACAUGCAAGUCGAACGGUAACAGGGAGCUUGCUCCGCUGACGAGUGGCGAACGGGUGAGUAAUGCGUCGGAACGUGCCGAGUAGUGGGGGAUAACGCAUCGAAAGGUGUGCUAAUACCGCAUACGUACUGAGGUAGAAAGUGGGGGACCUUCGGGCCUCACGCUAUUCGAGCGGCCGACGUCUGAUUAGCUAGUUGGUGAGGUAAAGGCUCACCAAGGCGACGAUCAGUAGCGGGUCUGAGAGGAUGUUCCGCCACACUGGGACUGAGACACGGCCCAGACUCCGACGGGAGGCAGCAGUGGGGAAUUUUGGACAAUGGGCGCAAGCCUGAUCCAGCCAUGCCGCGUGUCUGAAGAAGGCCUUCGGGUUGUAAAGGACUUUUGUCCGGGAGCAAAUGCUGGUGGCUAACAUCCACCGGAGCUGAGAGUACCGGAAGAAUAAGCACCGGCUAACUACGUGCCAGCCGCCGCCGUAAAAC
rnacentral:rRNA from 1 species